rnacentral:ncRNA from 1 species
UCAAUCCUUCGGGGCAGGGUGAAAUUCCCGACCGGCGGUGAUGGUACCUAUGAGUACCUCAGUCCGUGACCCGCUUUAUGCGGUGGACCUGGUGAAAAUCCGGGGCCGACAGUAUAGUCUGGAUGGGAGAAGGAUGAC